rnacentral:miRNA from 1 species
CAUCAGUUAAGGUGGUUGGGA